rnacentral:rRNA from 1 species
AUACGGAGGGGGCUAGCGUUGUUCGGAAUUACUGGGCGUAAAGCGCGCGUAGGCGGACCAGUCAGUCAGGGGUGAAAUCCCGGGGCUCAACCCCGGAACUGCCUUUGAUACUGCUGGUCUUGAGUUCGAGAGAGGUGAGUGGAAUUCCGAGUGUAGAGGUGAAAUUCGUAGAUAUUAGGAGGAACACCAGUGGCGAAGGCGGCUCACUGGCUCGAUACUGACGCUCAGGUGCGAAAGCGUGGGGAGCAAACAGGAUUAGAUACCCUAGUAGUCC